AGCGUACACGGUGGAUGCCCUGGCAGUCAGAGGCGAUGAAGGACGUGCUAAUCUGCGAUAAGCGUCGGUAAGGUGAUAUGAACCGUUAUAACCGGCGAUUUCCGAAUGGGGAAACCCAGUGUGAUUCGUCACACUAUCAUUAACUGAAUCCAUAGGUUAAUGAGGCGAACCGGGGGAACUGAAACAUCUAAGUACCCCGAGGAAAAGAAAUCAACCGAGAUUCCCCCAGUAGCGGCGAGCGAACGGGGAGCAGCCCAGAGCCUGAAUCAGUGUGUGUGUUAGUGGAAGCGUCUGGAAAGGCGCGCGAUACAGGGUGACAGCCCCGUACACAAAAAUGCACAUGCUGUGAGCUCGAUGAGUAGGGCGGGACACGUGGUAUCCUGUCUGAAUAUGGGGGGACCAUCCUCCAAGGCUAAAUACUCCUGACUGACCGAUAGUGAACCAGUACCGUGAGGGAAAGGCGAAAAGAACCCCGGCGAGGGGAGUGAAAAAGAACCUGAAACCGUGUACGUACAAGCAGUGGGAGCACGCUUAGGCGUGUGACUGCGUACCUUUUGUAUAAUGGGUCAGCGACUUAUAUUCUGUAGCAAGGUUAACCGAAUAGGGGAGCCGAAGGGAAACCGAGUCUUAACUGGGCGUUAAGUUGCAGGGUAUAGACCCGAAACCCGGUGAUCUAGCCAUGGGCAGGUUGAAGGUUGGGUAACACUAACUGGAGGACCGAACCGACUAAUGUUGAAAAAUUAGCGGAUGACUUGUGGCUGGGGGUGAAAGGCCAAUCAAACCGGGAGAUAGCUGGUUCUCCCCGAAAGCUAUUUAGGUAGCGCCUCGUGAAUUCAUCUCCGGGGGUAGAGCACUGUUUCGGCAAGGGGGUCAUCCCGACUUACCAACCCGAUGCAAACUGCGAAUACCGGAGAAUGUUAUCACGGGAGACACACGGCGGGUGCUAACGUCCGUCGUGAAGAGGGAAACAACCCAGACCGCCAGCUAAGGUCCCAAAGUCAUGGUUAAGUGGGAAACGAUGUGGGAAGGCCCAGACAGCCAGGAUGUUGGCUUAGAAGCAGCCAUCAUUUAAAGAAAGCGUAAUAGCUCACUGGUCGAGUCGGCCUGCGCGGAAGAUGUAACGGGGCUAAACCAUGCACCGAAGCUGCGGCAGCGACACUGUGUGUUGUUGGGUAGGGGAGCGUUCUGUAAGCCUGCGAAGGUGUGCUGUGAGGCAUGCUGGAGGUAUCAGAAGUGCGAAUGCUGACAUAAGUAACGAUAAAGCGGGUGAAAAGCCCGCUCGCCGGAAGACCAAGGGUUCCUGUCCAACGUUAAUCGGGGCAGGGUGAGUCGACCCCUAAGGCGAGGCCGAAAGGCGUAGUCGAUGGGAAACAGGUUAAUAUUCCUGUACUUGGUGUUACUGCGAAGGGGGGACGGAGAAGGCUAUGUUGGCCGGGCGACGGUUGUCCCGGUUUAAGCGUGUAGGCUGGUUUUCCAGGCAAAUCCGGAAAAUCAAGGCUGAGGCGUGAUGACGAGGCACUACGGUGCUGAAGCAACAAAUGCCCUGCUUCCAGGAAAAGCCUCUAAGCAUCAGGUAACAUCAAAUCGUACCCCAAACCGACACAGGUGGUCAGGUAGAGAAUACCAAGGCGCUUGAGAGAACUCGGGUGAAGGAACUAGGCAAAAUGGUGCCGUAACUUCGGGAGAAGGCACGCUGAUAUGUAGGUGAAGUCCCUCGCGGAUGGAGCUGAAAUCAGUCGAAGAUACCAGCUGGCUGCAACUGUUUAUUAAAAACACAGCACUGUGCAAACACGAAAGUGGACGUAUACGGUGUGACGCCUGCCCGGUGCCGGAAGGUUAAUUGAUGGGGUCAGCGCAAGCGAAGCUCUUGAUCGAAGCCCCGGUAAACGGCGGCCGUAACUAUAACGGUCCUAAGGUAGCGAAAUUCCUUGUCGGGUAAGUUCCGACCUGCACGAAUGGCGUAAUGAUGGCCAGGCUGUCUCCACCCGAGACUCAGUGAAAUUGAACUCGCUGUGAAGAUGCAGUGUACCCGCGGCAAGACGGAAAGACCCCGUGAACCUUUACUAUAGCUUGACACUGAACAUUGAGCCUUGAUGUGUAGGAUAGGUGGGAGGCUUUGAAGUGUGGACGCCAGUCUGCAUGGAGCCGACCUUGAAAUACCACCCUUUAAUGUUUGAUGUUCUAACGUUGACCCGUGAUCCGGGUUGCGGACAGUGUCUGGUGGGUAGUUUGACUGGGGCGGUCUCCUCCUAAAGAGUAACGGAGGAGCACGAAGGUUGGCUAAUCCUGGUCGGACAUCAGGAGGUUAGUGCAAUGGCAUAAGCCAGCUUGACUGCGAGCGUGACGGCGCGAGCAGGUGCGAAAGCAGGUCAUAGUGAUCCGGUGGUUCUGAAUGGAAGGGCCAUCGCUCAACGGAUAAAAGGUACUCCGGGGAUAACAGGCUGAUACCGCCCAAGAGUUCAUAUCGACGGCGGUGUUUGGCACCUCGAUGUCGGCUCAUCACAUCCUGGGGCUGAAGUAGGUCCCAAGGGUAUGGCUGUUCGCCAUUUAAAGUGGUACGCGAGCUGGGUUUAGAACGUCGUGAGACAGUUCGGUCCCUAUCUGCCGUGGGCGCUGGAGAACUGAGGGGGGCUGCUCCUAGUACGAGAGGACCGGAGUGGACGCAUCACUGGUGUUCGGGUUGUCAUGCCAAUGGCACUGCCCGGUAGCUAAAUGCGGAAGAGAUAAGUGCUGAAAGCAUCUAAGCACGAAACUUGCCCCGAGAUGAGUUCUCCCUGACUCCUUGA
rnacentral:rRNA from 1 species